UUGAAAGGGAAACGAUUGAAGUCAGUCGUACCAGCGGGAAAUCAACCUUUCGAGUGGGGGUUUUGGAGUUUUGAAGAGUUUCAAAACCUUUGAGAUUUCAAAAAUUUCGCUCUUUUGGUGUACUUUCUCGUGGGUAGGUUAACAUCAAUUUUGAUCAUCAUAAAAAGAUUGGAGGAAUGUAGCUUCGAUCUUGUAUUGAAGUGUUAUAGCCUUUGGUAAAUGUGAUGAUUAGGAUCGAGGAUUGCAACGAAUACCCUUUUGGGCUAUCCGCCUGAUCUCUGAUACGUGGCCUUGGUAUCGAAAGCUUGCUUAUGGUAUUAAGGUAUUACGGUCA
rnacentral:rRNA from 1 species